GAGACGGACCGGAGAGAGGCCCAGAGGAUGUCCUUCACAGUGAUUUAAACGCAGGACAGCCGAAAACCUGGAGGAGGAAUGAAAUUCCAGGACACAUAUGUUGAUAAACUGACUACACUACAGCAACCUAUGAAAUGAGGUAUGAGAGGACAGACUCAAAGUUAUCUUCUUGGACUUCAUGAAGAAGAAAGAACUGCAGCAAACAUCUGAAGAAGUGGCAACUGCAGAG